CACUCUUUUUCCAACAUUAGUACUCAAAAAGGGUUAGUUUUAUGCCUUAAUUGAUGUGUUUUAUAUGUUGCAUUUUACACACAUCAGGUACGCACGCCAAGUGUUUGAUGAAAGGUCUAAAUGACAAUAUUAUGUGUUAUGCAAGUAGUGGGUGAAUAUGUAUAGAAUGUACCAAUGAAGUAAUUAGUGAUAGGUUAGCAGGAGAAAUGUGCUUUGGAUGGAUUUCAUGUGGUUAUCUAGUUUGCUGAAAUGAUUUAGUAAGAAGUAUAGUAUAUGAGAUUGUACUCUAUGUUUUAAUGGGUGGUGCACAUCAUGUGUAAGACAGCUUGCUUAAUGGUGAUUUAGAAAGGAAUGUGUACUAAAUGUAUAACUUUUAGACUUACUAGUAAAGGAUGAUGUUAUGAUUACGUUAAAUUGGCUAACUUGGUAUGUGGUUGUCAAAUGUAGAAUCAUGAAAGUAUUAGUAUGUGUAAAAUGAUUUUUGUGUAUAUGGUGUAUGGAAUCAAGUGAUCGUGUAGUUGUAUGUGCCACACAACAUGAAUAUGAAAUGCGUGUGACAUUAUUACAAUGGUCUACCAUAUCAAGAUAAGUGUGUAUUCAUAAGUUAGAAGAUAUAGAAAGUUUGAAAAUCGCAUGGUUAGGCAUGUUAACACAAAUAUAAGAUUAGAGAGAUCAUGAGAUAUGUGUUAGACCAAAUAUGUAUUAUGUAUGAUGAUGAAAUUCGGUUUGGUGGAUGUUGAACAAUGUGCUUGUCAAUUCAUGUCUUAUGCAUGUUCAUGAACUAUUAAUAAAAGUCGAUGUAACUAAGAGUUGAAAUGGAUGUUGAUAUGAAUGAGCAUCAUACUAACAAUGUUAUAAACAUGAGGACAUGAAAGGAUGAACCACAUUAGCAUGGGCUGAAGCAUGGAAGGCUAAUGGGUCAAGAGGAGGCAAAGAAGCAAGCACGCGUACGGACGCUUAAGGUGUGAAGGAAGAAAGUUCAAACUCUAAGAAACCGGAAGGAUCACAAGACCGAGGUAAAACUCCACUUUAGGCGAUUUGGAGAUAUGGAGCGAGCACAUGUUCAAGCCUUAUUAUACCAAGCGCUUCCGCUAGUUUAUAUGCAUACUUUUUGGGUCCAUGUCUUGUAGUUUUGUUUAAUCUUGUUAGAAGUCUACACUUGAAAACUUGUUGUCUUUGUUUGGGGUAGUUUAAAGUUAAAUGGAUCGUAGAUUGUCGUUAGUUUAAUAUCUUAUAAACAGGGGGCAUGCUCGUUUUACGAACGGGUCAUGCCCAAAUUUUCUAAGAAUUUCGUUAUGUAUUAAAUUUGGUAUUUUGAUGUCUUUAAA